GGUCAAGCUAAUAAGGGCUAAUGGUGGAUACCUAGCCCCACAAAAGA
rnacentral:rRNA from 1 species